rfam:Gossypium raimondii Chr12_contig_116, whole genome shotgun sequence.
AGUUAAAAAUUUUACCCCUUUGUAUUGUUAAAAACUGGUGUGGCUGACAAAAUAAUCAGAUAGUGACAUGUGACGUGCCAUGUGUACUACAUGUUAACAUAAAAGGACCAAUUUUUAAUAAUAGAAAUAAAUAAUUUGAUCAAAA